AUGUGGAUUGGGAACAAGAGGAGGAAGGAGAAGGGGGAAGGGAAGAGCAGUGUAACCAAAAAGAAAAAAUCAUAUACGAGUGGACCAAAUGCGUUCAGCUUAUUUUUAAGCAAGAUGAAAAGAGGACGGGACAUUUUUGGUUCGUUAGAGUAUUCAUGGAGAUGAAAGCCGGCCUUACUCUCUCGCUGUUCUUUACAAUGGUUACAUAUAUAACAUCAAGAUAAGGAAAACGAAUGACUGGAAGAUGGUCCUCGGGGAAGACAGGGAGGGUAUCCGGAAUCAUAAAUUUGAAGGCGUACCAGAAUUAAUUUGCUUCUACAAGAACAACCAUGUUGUACUGGCAAAUGCAAUGGAUGGAAAACAACAUGAUACAACGCUGAAUCAACACGCCGUAAACACUAAAAGCACCAACUAAUGUUUCAAUUCCUACCUUCCGUGAAUCCAUUUAUUGUCCUAAUCUUCGUCUGAAUCAUUAGUUACAUUAAAAUACAUUAUAUCACAGGUGUUUGAAACUCUAUCAAUAUGAGCAAGUUAAAUCUCUUGAACAGAUCGUAGUAGAUCUAUAUUAGGUGGGUGGGAUAUGGUAACUCAUAUAUUUGAUGACAGAGCUUCAAGCGUCUUUGGUUAUAUUUAGCACAGUAAAGUAUAGUAUUAAACUACGGUGGUUGAUUUAGUACAUUUUGUUGUGUCGCGUUAGCGUACCAUCGUUCUGCCGCGUGCGCCAUCGCGCCAUAAUGAAUUUUUGAAAGAUUUUGCGCGCGUCCUAACUCAACAAAAACUAACUUACCAUGUGACAUACCGUGAUACAGAACGCGACCGAAAGAAACAUUUAAUUUCGCGUUGGCUAAGUUGCCAUUCACAAAGACUUUGUUUUGGUGUAUUGUUGCGGGCGACAAAACGAAACAAUAUAUUUCGUUAAGUCAAGCUGGCGUGCACGCAAUCAUGUAGCAAACUUCGUUGUGUCGUCCUGGCGUGCACCAUUGUGAGAAAGCGAAACAAUUUAUUUCGUCUUUGUUAAAACGAGAUCUUUGUUAAUGGCGCGCACGUCAAUUCGAAGAAACGAAACAUUUCAUUUUGUUUUAGCGUGUGACAACUCGAAAUUGUUGCCGAUGGCAUGCGCACCAUCAUGGAAUAAAAUGUUUUAUUCUGCUGCGUUCUAUGUUUUGCUGUGUCGCGUUCUUAGUUUUGUUUUGUCGCGUUAGCAUGCGUGCAAAAACGACACAAAAGUCUUUCAAAAUUCCGUCACUGGUGUUGGCGCACGCGCGAAGGACGAUACAACGAAAUGUGUCCCAUUAAUCGGCGUUACACCAAUGCGACAUAACGAAAUGUCCUAAAUCACUCUACAUAUAAAGCGGGUUUGCUGAGUUUGCUCUAUGUAUUUCAUAUGUUUUCAGUGUUGUUUUACAUUGAAUUUUAGAUUUUGCUUCACAUUUAUAAAUUUGCAUAGCGUUUAGAACUUGUUUCACAUGUAUACAUGUCAUAUCGUUUACAAGUUGCUUCACAUUUAUAAUUUUCUUACCGUUUAGUCGUUGAUUCACAUUCAUUCUUUUUAUAUCGUUUAUAGGUUGCUUCACUUUAUAAAUUUCCAUAUCGUUAAGAUUUUUUUUAACUUUAAAGUUUGUAAUUUCCUUACCAUUAAUAUAUUUGCUUACAUGUAUAUUUUUCAUAUCGUUUAGAUAUUGCUUCACAUUAUUAUUUUUAUAUUGCAAUGUACAAGUUUAGCCAUCUCCUUUUGGUAAGUAUCAAUUAAGCCAUGCUGAUAAAAAUGAACGAACUAAAAUUAUACUGUAAUAUCCGACCUCCUAUGUGGAAGGGAAUGAAACCUGAAAAUUGAGUGCCACAUAAAUACAUGCUUAAUGAUUCAGAUCAUUUUGAAUAGAAGUAAAGCCAUACUGCAUGGCCAGACCUCUACCACUAGUGAGCAUAAAUUUCGUGUGCAGACAUAUAUAAGUUAACGCAAAACAACACGAUAUCACCAAAGGCUAACAUAGCACUUAGUCUAGCGUUAUGUGGCUUCAUGUGACCUUAUUCGAGAGGCAAAAAAGAGAAAGGCAAAAAGUUGUGAAAUAUAAAUACUACAAGAAGUAAGACAAUCCUGGAUGUAAAAUUUGGAAUAAUUACUGCUUAGUUACAUCAGUUUACAAGCGUAGCACGGAAACUACCACCCAUUGCAUCAGGCAUAAACCAGAUUUCGUAUAUGUACAAUAGUUAUGUGCAGUUUAACUGUGGGAUAUAUUCUGUUACAGAUUUUUGUAUUGGAUUUUAACUGCUUGUAAUUGCUUUUCUAUCUAAUAGAAAUACGUCAGCAUACAUUUAGUUGCAUUUUUUUUAAGAUCAAAGAAUUCCAGACUGAGUAAUAUUCGCGUCGAGCAUAUGUGAUUCAUUAUAAACAUAUUGUAUUAAUUUACAUAUUAUAAUGGCAAUUAAAAUUUAUUUUAAAGUAAUAUUAUUAAGGUUGAGGACCCGCAUUUACAAUCGACAAUUUCUUUGUGAUUACGUAUUUUCUAAAAUAUUCCGGCAUUUUUCGGUCAUAUUAAAACAUUUUAUUCUAACAACAAUAACUUGAGAAUGCAGAAUCGUAAACUAAGAAAACGUUAUUGAAUGUAAUUACGGGCCCACUACCUUAACAUAUAGAUGCUAUUGUUUAUGAUAGUAUUUGUUUGUUUGUUUUGUUUUGGGUUUAAU
rnacentral:lncRNA from 1 species